UACGUAGGGUGCGAGCGUUGUCCGGAAUUAUUGGGCGUAAAGAGCUUGUAGGCGGUUUGUCGCGUCUGCCGUGAAAUUUCGAGGCUACACUCGAACUUGCGGUGGGUACGGGCAGACUAGAGUGUGGUAGGGGAGACUGGAAUUCCUGGUGUAGCGGUGGAAUGCGCAGAUAUCAGGAGGAACACCGAUGGCGAAGGCAGGUCUCUGGGCCAUUACUGACACUGAGAAGCGAAAGCAUGGGGAGCGAACAGG
rnacentral:rRNA from 1 species